GAAUUUUGUACAAUGGGCGAAAGCCUGAUUCAGCAAUGUCGCGUUCAGGAUGAAGGCCUUCGGGUUGUAAACUGCUUUUGUACGGAACGAAAAUCCUUUGGUAAAUACCUGGGAGUCAUGACUGUACCGUAACCAUAACCACCGGACCACUACGUGCACACAGCCGCGGUAAUACGUAGGGUGCAAGCGUUAGUCGGACUUACGGGGCGUAAAGCGUGCGCAGGCGGUUGUGUAAUACAUAGGUGAAAUCCCCGGGCUCAACCUGGGAACUGCCGUUGUGACUGCAAGGCUAGAGGACGGCAGAGGGGGGUGGAAUUCCGCGUGUAGCAGUGAAAUGCGUAGAUAUGAGGAGGAACACCGAUGGCGAAGGCAACCCCCUGGGCCUGUACUGACGCUCAUGCACGAAAGCGUGGGGAGCAAACAGG
rnacentral:rRNA from 1 species